rnacentral:misc_RNA from 1 species
UCCGAGUUGUCCCCGGCAGUCCUCUUAGAGUCCCCGGCAUUACCCGCUGGCAACUAAGAGCAGGGGUUGCGCUCGUUGCGGCACUUAAGCCAACACCUCACGGCACGAGCUGUCGACAGCCAUGCAGGCAUCCUGUGCAUGUCAAGCCCAGGUAAGGUUCUUCGCGUUGCAUCGAAUUAAUCCACAUGCUCCGCCGCUUGUGCGGGCCCCCGUCAAUUCCUUUGAGUUUUAGCCUUGCGGCCGUACUCCCCAGGCGGGGUGCUUAAUGCGUUAGCUUCGGCACAGAGCGGGUCAAACGCCGCCCCACACCUAGCACCCAACGUUUACGGCUAGGACUAC